rnacentral:tRNA from 3 species
GGGCAGUUAGCUCAGCGGUAGAGCGGUAGUCUUACACACUAUUGGUCGGGGGUUCGAUCCCCUCACUGCCCACCA